AGUGGCAGCAGUGACGACACAGAGCUGCGGUACUCCUCCCAGUACGAGGAGCGCCUGGACCCCUUCUCCUCCUUCAGCAGGCGGGAGCGGCAGCGGAAGUACCUGAGCCUGAGCCCUUGGGACAAGGCCACACUCAGCAUGGGACGACUGGUUCUCUCCAAUAAGAUAGCACGCACCAUUGGCUUCUUCUACACACUGUUCCUGCAUUGCUUGGUCUUCCUGGUGCUCUACAAGCUGGCGUGGAGCGAGAGCAUGGAGAGGGACUGUGCCACCUUCUGCGCUAAGAAGUGAGGACAUCACC